UACGUAGGGUGCAAGCGUUGUCCGGAAUUAUUGGGCGUAAAGAGCUCGUAGGCGGUCUGUCGCGUCGGCUGUGAAAACCCGGAGCUCAACUCCGAGCUUGCAUUCGAUACGGGCAGGCUAGAGUUCGGUAGGGGAGACUGGAAUUCCUGGUGUAGCGGUGAAAUGCGCAGAUAUCAGGAGGAACACCGGUGGCGAAGGCGGGUCUCUGGCGAUACUGACGCUGAGGAGCGAAAGCGUGGGGAGCGAACAGG
rnacentral:rRNA from 1 species